rnacentral:rRNA from 1 species
UUGUAGUCUGCAACCCGACUACAUGAAGCUGGAAUCGCUAGUAAUCGCGGAUCAGAAUGCCGCGGUGAAUACGUUCCCGGGUCUUGUACACACCGCCCGUCACACCAUGGGAGUCGGAAAUGCCCGAAGUCUGUGACCCAACCAUUAAGGAGGGAGCAGCCGAAGACAGGUCGGAUGACUGGGGUGAAGUCGUAACAAGGUAAC